UCGGGAAUUUUGGGCAAUGGGGGAAACCCUGACCCAGCAACGCCGCGUGAAGGAUGAAGUAUUUCGGUAUGUAAACUUCGAAAGAAUAGGAAGAAUAAAUGACGGUACUAUUUAUAAGGUCCGGCUAACUACGUGCCAGCAGCCGCGGUAAUACGUAGGGACCAAGCGUUGUUCGGAUUUACUGGGCGUAAAGGGCGCGUAGGCGGCAUGACAAGUCACUUGUGAAAUCUCUGGGCUUAACCCAGAACGGCCAAGUGAUACUGUCGCGCUAGAGUGCAGAAAGGGCAACUGGAAUUCUUGGUGUAGCGGUGAAAUGCGUAGAUAUCAAGAGGAACACCUGAGGUGAAGACGGGUUGCUGGGCUGACACUGACGCUGAGGCGCGAAAGCCAGGGGAGCAAACGGGAUUAGAUACCCCCGUAGUCCCUGAGCGGGCUGGCAAGGCGCAU
rnacentral:rRNA from 1 species